rnacentral:rRNA from 1 species
GACGAACGCUGGCGGCGUGCUUAACACAUGCAAGUCGAACGGAAAGGCCCUACUUUGGUGGGGUGCUCGAGUGGCGAACGGGUGAGUAACACGUGAGUAACCUGCCCUUGACUUUGGGAUAACUGCAGGAAACUGGGGCUAAUACCGGAUAGGAGCUGCUGCUGCAUGGGGAGGGUUGGAAAGGUUCUGCGGUUGGGGAUGGACUCGCGGCUUAUCAGCUUGUUGGUGGGGUAGUGGCUUACCAAGGCGUUGACGGGUAGCCGGCCUGAGAGGGUGACCGGCCACACUGGGACUGAGAUACGGCCCAGACUCCUACGGGAGGCAGCAGUGGGGAAUAUUGCACAAUGGGCGGAAGCCUGAUGCAGCAACGCCGCGUGCGGGAUGACGGCCUUCGGGUUGUAAACCGCUUUCGCCUGUGACGAAGCGAGAGUGACGGUAAUUGGUAAAGAAGCACCGGCUAACUACGUG